AAUUCAACCAUAAACGUAAUUAAAGUCAGAUAAUGUGAGUUAUUCUAAUUUUGUUUUACCAAAUUCAUCAAUUUCAGUUCAUUAGGAUCCCUAAAAGACGUUUCGACCUCACCCCAUCUUCUUCAUCCCUAACCCAAUCUCCAUCCGUCGCACCAUGUCUGCACCCCCAUCCUCGACUGAAAUUUCGGCUUCUCUCCUCAGUUUUGGCCACAUGCAGAGAAGCUAUGGGUAUCUCUGCGAUUCCAUUCGAUCCCACCAUGAGGGUGUUGUUCUCUUUAUUGUGUCUGUUCCUUCUCCCCAAGGUUCCUCUGUCUCUCUCUGUCGAUCAUACCUCAUUCUCCAUCUCGAUUUCUCCGUUUUGGAUAGCAUACGUUGCCACCGCCGUUCAAGAGGUAUAUGUGGGCUAUGGUUCCAUUCUCCUCCUUUUCAAUCUCUUUCUCGAUUCCUUCUCCAGUUUCAAUUUCUUUUUUGUGUUAAUUGUUACUGUUUUCUGGAUCCAUCGUUUAAUUUUGAGUUGUUUGGUUUCUGAUUUAAUCAUGGUGAUUGUUACUUGUUUUUGUAAAUCAAUGGUUUUCUCCUAUGUUUGUACUCUUGGUGUUUCUGUGAAAUAAUUUUCUUCUUGGGGGGUUUGCUCAUUAUAAAUUAUAUAAUUUUCUUUCUGCUAUUGGACUGAAGUUAACUGUAGUGUUAGGUAUAGUUGACUGAUGAAAUUCUGUUUUUGCUUUAUUGUGAAUUGUCAAAUCAACUAUAUGUGGUAGGUAUUUGGUAAUUUGUAAUAGGCCUCUUCCCAUAUUGUUUUUGCUCUUUUCCCAUGAGUAUUUGGUUACUUGUGAUAUCUUCCUAAAUGAUGUGUGUAGCCAUAUCAAUUUAUAUAUGCCUAUUAGUCUAUCUCUGUCCCAUAUGUGAAGCUUACAUUGUAAGCUUUAGUGUUUGUUAACUUUGGGAGUUUAUAACUCCAACUCAUCUGUUUAUCUUCUCAUCUUAGUUCUGAAUUUUUCUCUGUAUAUUUUCUCCUUUUGGUGUUCUUAUCCUAUAUAUGUUGGGAAUGAAUAACCGUGUUGAUUUGGUGGAGAAAAUCACUCCGUGGAGAGAAUCAUGGAAAGUGCAUGUUAAAGUUGUGAAGUUGUGGUACCACAAGAAUCCUGCUUUGGAUCCUUCUCAAAAUCUGUUGCAUAUGGUCUUAAUGGAUGAGAAGACUUUGUUGGGAUCAUUACUGGUGUUCGAAAAGAAAGAGAUGUAGCAUCAUAUGGGAAGCUGAUCAAAGCAGUUGUGCUAGAAGUUUUUACUGAUGGCAAAAAGGUACAAUGCAAUGUGUUUGGAAAUGAUUGUGAUCUGUUAGAAUAUGAUAACUUACAAAAAUAUCCAAGAUCUCCACUGAUUAUCCUCGAGUCUUUUAAAAUCAAAGCAAUUGAAGGUUAGUUUCAGGCAUAUUCAGUGAAUUUUUACUCUAAUAUUUACUUUUCUAUUUUUUGACCUUUUAAUUUAAAUAUGGUUUGAGGCUAAUAGAAUAGGAUUCUUGCAUGCAGGGGGGUAAUCCUACAGAAUGUGAUAAAUGUCUCUAGGUUAUUCAUUAAUCCCGACAUUUCUGAGUCUGUUGAGUUCCUAAGCAGAUUUAGUGUAGCCAGUUAUGGAUUCUCAAGACUUGUGACCAAUGACCUUAGAUACUUAGUUUCUAAAGUUGAUGGUGAUUAUUUCAAUCCCAAAGAGAUCAGCAAUAUUCAAGAUCUUCAUGCAGAUAAUGGGGAUUCACAUUACUUUGUUAUUGGGACAAUUAAGGAAGUUAUGGAAGAACCAGAUUUGUGGUACUACUCAUGUGUAUGUGAUCAUGCCAUUGUCGAGCAUGAGGAUCUCUACCUUUGUGAUGUUUGUGGUUCAUGUGUUGAACAUGUUAUGGUCAAGUGAGGUUCAUAUGUAACUCUAUUAUGGAAUAGAUUAAUUAUCAAUCUUUUGGAUUUUUUGUUAGUUCUUUGUUAUGCGUCCCUCUAUGUGUUGUUAAGAAGAUUUCUUAGUUUUAGUUAUCAUUCUUGGUUGUUAAUUGUGUAAGAUAUGGGAUUCGGGUAAAGAUUCACCAUGGUGGGUGUGCUAUUUUGUUUGUUCUGCUUGAUAAUGCGGCAACAAAAUUAUUUGGAAAAACCUGUUCUGAAGCAUUUCUCAGGAUAGAAGAAGAAUUUCCUGUUGAUCAUAGUGUGCUUGCAGUAUGAACUCUUUCAUAGCGAACCUCAUUUAAUCUUUGUUAUUUUUUUGUGUUCAAGUUUAUUGAUUCUUUUAUAUUAAACUCCCAAGGUCUGUCGGUCAUAUUCUCCACAAAUAUUUGAUGAUGUUGUUGGAGAGGAGAAAGUUUUCAAGGUUGAAAUUCAUUCUGCAGUUGAUCCAGAUUACUCCGGGUGCUUUAAAAUUGUAAAUGUCUUUAGUCAUAAUCCGGAACCAGCUGCAACCGAUGAUUAUAUCAAUGCAAGGCUUCACGGUCCCAUUUUUCCACCAAUCUAUGACACCUACUUGCAGUAUGCAACUGGCGAAUAUUACAAGACUCAAGUAGUAUGUGAUAAUUCUAUUCAAUCCGAAACUAUUGAAGAUAUUAUUACUGAUCUUAUUUCACCCAAUCGCUGCUAUUCUGAUGCUGAGAACGUAUAUUUUUUUCCUCAUUUGCAAUAAAAUCUCUUAGAUCAUUCGUUUUUGUUAUUCUUGUUAUAUCAUACCCUGAAAAGUUAGUAAAUGGUAUUUUUGUAAAUUAUUUGAAAUUUGAAAUGCUGUAAUCAUUUUUUCUUUGCUGGCAGGGUGGUUUCGUUUUUAUUCUGGUAACUAUAUCAUUUGUUUUGAAGAAUCAUAAGUGGUGGUUCUCAACUUGUUUAUGUGGUUCUCUUGUGUCAGCUAAUAAAAAUAUUUUAUCAUGUGAUCUAUGUCAGCUUCAAUGCAUUGAUGCUGUCCCAAGAUUCUGCUUGAAGGUUGUAGUGUCUCAUGCAAAUGGCAACAAUAUAUUUGUUCUUAAAGAUCGUGAAGUCGUCCAAAUAAUAAAGACAAGAUGCUCGAGCUUUUUGGAUAAUCACUCAGAGUUGAAUUAGGUUGUCAUCCAAUUGUGGUUUUAAUUAGUAUAUAGAUAUAGAUAUAGUUAGUUUGUUUCUUUUGACAUUCCUAGGGAAAACAUAAAUUAUUAUUAUGCUAUUUGUUAAGUAUUUUGUUUUUUUUUUAGGGAUCUUAUUGCAAAGUUGUUCCAUUAAAACUCAUUUCAAGUCUUUUGCACAAAAAAGUUGUAUUCAUGGUUGAUGCUAGGCCUGUGGGUUAUGAGAUGAAUCGAUCUGUGUAUAUUGUUCAACAAAUCUGGGAUGAUACCUCUGUUAUUAAUGUUUUUGAGGCUGCUGCUGAGAUGAAUGAGCAUAAGAUUCAUGUUCUGGUUGAUUCUAUGCCUGAAGUUGAAGAUGCUUUCAGCCAAUGUGAAAGCGAUCAUGAGGCUAUAGAGGAUUUGCAUGCUUUUUAGUUUAAUAUGUUCAUAUACUACUUUAAAUUGUUGUUUGAUUUGUGAUACUUAGUGUGUUUU